rnacentral:rRNA from 1 species
UACGGAGGAUGCGAGCGUUAUCCGGAUUUAUUGGGUUUAAAGGGUGCGUAGGCGGGCUUUUAAGUCAGCGGUAAAAACUCGGGGCUCAACCCCGUCCGGCCGUUGAAACUGGGGGUCUUGAGUGGGCGAGAAGAAGGCGGAAUGCGUGGUGUAGCGGUGAAAUGCAUAGAUAUCACGCAGAACCCCGAUUGCGAAGGCAGCCUUCCGGCGCCCUACUGACGCUGAGGCACGAAAGUGCGGGGAUCGAACAGG